AAACGCGAAGAACCUUUACCUACUCUUGACAUUACAGAAGCCAGCGGAGACGCAGGUGUGCCUUCGGGAACUGUAAGACAGGUGCUGCAUGGCUGUCGUCAGCUCGUGUUGUGAAAUGUUGGGUUAAGUCCCGCAACGAGCGCAACCCUUAUCCUUGUUUGCCAGCACUUCGGGUGGGAACUCCAGGGAGACUGCCGGUGAUAAACCGGAGGAAGGUGGGGACGACGUCAAGUCAUCAUGGCCCUUACGAGUAGGGCUACACACGUGCUACAAUGGCGCAUACAGAGGGCGGCCAACUUGCGAAAGUGAGCGAAUCCCAAAAAGUGCGUCGUAGUCCGGAUUGGAGUCUGCAACUCGACUCCAUGAAGUCGGAAUCGCUAGUAAUCGUGGAUCAGAAUGCCACGGUGAAUACGUUCCCGGGCCUUGUACACACCGCCCGUCACACCAUGGGAGUGGGCUGCAAAAGAAGUGGGUAGUUUAACCUUCGGGAGGACGCUCACCACUUUGUGGUUCAUGACUGGGGUGAAGUCGUAACAAGGUAACCG
rnacentral:rRNA from 1 species